rnacentral:rRNA from 1 species
UACGUAGGUGGCGAGCGUUGUCCGGAUUUAUUGGGUUUAAAGGGUGCGUAGGCGGCUUUGUAAGUCAGUGGUGAAAUAUCUCAGCUUAACUGAGAGGGUGCCAUUGAUACUGCAGAGCUUGAGUACAGACGAGGUAGGCGGAAUUGACGGUGUAGCGGUGAAAUGCAUAGAUAUCGUCAAGAACUCCGAUAGUGAAGACAGCUUACUAGACUGUAACUGACGCUGAGGCACGAAAGUGUGGGGAUCAAAC